GACGAACGCUGGCGGCGUGCCUAAUACAUGCAAGUCGAACGCUUUUUCUUUCACCGGAGCUUGCUCCACCGAAAGAAAAAGAGUGGCGAACGGGUGAGUAACACGUGGAUAACCUCCCCAUCAGAAGGGGAUAACACUUGGAAACAGGUGCUGAUACCGUAUAACACUAUUUUCCGCAUGGCAGAAAGUUGAAAGGCGCUUUUGCGUCGCUGAAUGAUGGACCCGGGGUGCAUUAGCUAGUUGGUGAGGUAACGGCUCACCAAGGCAACGAUGCAUAGCCGACCUGAGAGGGUGAUCGGCCACACUGGGACUGAGACACGGCCCAGACUCCUACGGGAGGUAGCAGUAGGGAAUCUUCGGCAAUGGACGAAAGUCUGACCGAGCAACGCCGCGUGAGUGAAGAAGGUUUUCGGAUCGUAAAACUCUGUUGUUAGAGAAGAACAAGGAUGAGAGUAAAACGUUCAUCCCUUGACGGUAUCUAACCAGAAAGCCACGGCUAACUACGUGCCAGCCGCCGCAGUAA
rnacentral:rRNA from 1 species